rnacentral:piRNA from 1 species
UGGUCUUGGCCAUGUGUGGACCACGGU